UCGUGCUCGAAAUCGCCGAACCCUAAUUUCCAUUUCAAAAUCGACUCUCUCCUUUCGAUUUUCUCAUCUUCUAUUCCUCUUCUCUCCAUAUCCGUUUCGUAGAUCAGACGAAUCACCUCUCCUCUAAUCAAACAUUCGUGUAAUCAAAGCUCAUUCAAUGGUUCUCUUUCGUCUUCCCCUCUAUCAAUCUCUCUAUAAAACUUUUUUUGAAUAUUUUGCUCAUAUCCUCUCAAGAAUCUACGGCUAUGGAAUCCACCGGCCAAUCCCUGUAUCCAGCAAUCCGAAGCCGAACCGGAAGAUCUUUUCCAGACGACAAAACCGCUGUUUCCUCUGCCAUUCUGAGAUCGCGAUCUUCCUCCGCGCACGGUGACGAUGUGAUGUUCUUCAGAGAUGUCAGAAUGGGCCCACACGAAGAGGAGUUACGGUUUCGUCUGAUACAUUUUCGGGAGGCUCGAAACUCAAACACGAAGACACUCAUUGGCAUGGAGAUGCUCCUCAUUGACGAGCAGGAAACUGUUAUUCAGGGCUUUAUUCCAGCAGGACUGGUUGAAAUGUAUAUGCCUCACUUGAAAGCAGGUUCUGUUUAUAGACUGACCAAGUUUUACGGGUCCAGGAGCAAAGUUCAGUUCAGUGUUGCUGAUCAUAGUGUCACCAUUUCAUUAUCUUGGACCUCUGUCCUCUCGGUUCUUGAGGACAGUCUGGUUCCUUUUCACGAAGACCGGUUCAGGUUCCGUAGCCACGAGGAGUUUGAAGCUAAUUGUGACCUCAAGGGUGACCUUUAUGAUUAUCUUGGACACAUGAAGUUGGUCAAUGGGCAGCCUCUCACGGACUGUCCCAUCCUUAGAGGCUGCCCAUCCUGGACGAAGUUGAUAUAGCAAAGAAGCGGCAUCUGAUGGUUCAUGUGCAGACACAUGGCUGACCAUUGAUGAAACUAUACAUAUGGGACAAAGCUGCAACAGAUUUCUGCCUGAAGUACAAGUCAUAUGGGAUCACUCCAAGUGCUAUUUUAGUCACCACAUUGAACCCAAAAUGGAUUGGAGUGAUACUUCAUUCAUGUGUAAACAUCAAGAACCCUUACUCUGACUAUGUCAUCUUCACGGGUUUUUAUGGACACCGAUGUCCAACCAACUAGAGAUUAUCUUAGCUGGUUGGGCUCCAACUCGGAUAUUGCUUGGAAGAUUAAUGCAGAGAUUGUGACUAAGCCUGAGGCAGUCACUAUAGCUGAAUUAUUCUCCUACAUCAAACAGGAGAAUGCGAAGGUUGCUUGGUUUGAGUGCACAGCAACCAUAGAUGAUUUUGUCAGUGGCUGAGCUUGGUAUUAUAUUUCCUGUGGUGUGUGCCAUACUAAGGCAACCAAAGGGCCUAAGUCUCUGAUGUGUAAGAAGUUUGGGAAAGCUGAGAUUUUCUGCCGGAGUACCAGAGUAUCUGACCAAGAUCUUUGUCUAUGAUAAAAGUGACCAGGAAGUUUUUGCCAUCCUUGGUGAUGCUGGGUUUGAAUUAACUGGGCGUCAUGCAUGUGAAUUAGUGGCGAACCACUUUAAGUCAAAUGAGAACAUUGGAGAUGAUCAAAUCAUGCCGGUUCCACAAACUCUAACAGACACCAUUGGACAGACACAUAAGUUUCUUGUGAAAGUCUCAAAGCAUAACCUCCAAGGCUUGACUCAAUCCAUUACUGUGACAAAGGUCCUCCCACCAGAAGCUCCAGAAGAUUAUGCCAAUGCUCCAAAGUCUGCUGAAAUAUUGGAGCCAGUAAGUGAAGAAUGUGGACCUUCCUUAUGCAUUGGAGAUUCUUCAGGUGAGGGUAUCAAAAGUUCCACCGAAAGUGUUGAACCAGAAGCUGUCAAACGUGCCAGAGGUAGCUAGAAGAGCUCCUGGUUACCCUGGUUACCCUCUCUAGCAGUAAAUUCUUCACUGCAGUUUAAGUAUUGGUUUUGCAUUGACUUUGCUAUCUUUAUAUUUGCAUUUUCAGACUUUUGUUUCAUUGGAAAUAUUAGCUAUCUUUGUAUUACAUUUUAAUCAAGUUCAGAGGAUUUUAGACUAUGUC